AUUGUUUGGAGAGUUUGAUCCUGGCUCAGGACGAACG
rnacentral:rRNA from 1 species